GACGAACGCUGGCGGCGUGCUUAACACAUGCAAGUCGAACGGAAAGGCCCUGCUUUUGUGGGGUGCUCGAGUGGCGAACGGGUGAGUAACACGUGAGUAACCUGCCCUUGACUUUGGGAUAACUUCAGGAAACUGGGGCUAAUACCGGAUAGGAGCUCCUGCUGCAUGGUGGGGGUUGGAAAGUUUCGGCGGUUGGGGAUGGACUCGCGGCUUAUCAGCUUGUUGGUGGGGUAGUGGCUUACCAAGGCUUUGACGGGUAGCCGGCCUGAGAGGGUGACCGGCCACCUUGGGACUGAGAUACGGCCCAGACUCCUACGGGAGGCAGCAGUGGGGAAUAUUGCACAAUGGGCGGAAGCCUGAUGCAGCAACGCCGCGUGCGGGAUGACGGCCUUCGGGUUGUAAACCGCUUUCGCCUGUGACGAAGCGGGAGUGACGGUAAUGGGUAAAGAAGCACCGGCUAACUACGUG
rnacentral:rRNA from 1 species